ensembl:lncRNA
GUCUAACUGAGGCUGUUACCAUAAGCAAGAUGAAACCAGUUUUGCUCUGUUUCACACCACUAACGACAGACAGCAAACAUGUCUCAUUAUCAUGACCAGCAUCACUUGUUUCAGAGUUCAGUUGGGGAUCUUUGUGUGCCGAUGCUCCAGUGGGUCACCGAUCACGUAAGUGCCCGCUGGAGGUGAGAGGCAGAGUUUUCCGCAGGAUUCCUGGCAGGGAUGUGAUCCGUGUGCGGGGAACAUCAGAGCAGCUGCUGCAGCCGUGCAUCGCAGAGAGAGAGUCGGAGCCAAGUGACACUUUCUCUCUGGAACAGUUGUUCUUUUUAUCCUUCCUUAUGUGACAGAUGAGCAGAAUCGUCCCUGAAGACCUCCAUCAGUACAGCUUAUCCAUUCAUCUCUCUGUCUCACUCUCUUCGGCCCCCUUUUCCCGUCUCACUAUCUCUCCCAUCACGAUCAGCUCGUUCUUCUGUUUGGUGUCAUUUUCGGCAUAAGUAGUAACACACGCACCAGCUUCUGCCCUUGCUGGAAGGGUCGUGUGUACAGCUGUCUGAUUAUUACAGCGAGUGACAGGACAGCGGUGUGAUCACUACAUUUCUCUCUCUUUCUGUGGAUCUGUUCCAAACCGGUGAGCUGCCGACACAGGCAGCAUUUUAA